rnacentral:lncRNA from 1 species
ACUGAUGAGUCAAGUUCCUGAGAAAAAAAAAGCAACCAAAGGCAGAAAAGAAACACAUUUUGGCAGAGAAGAGUGGGAUAGGAGGAGGUGGCCACGGAGCCUGAAGCAGAAAGACACAGAUGCCCAGAUAGUGGAACGCCACAUGGUGACUGUACCAGGAGACCAUGCAGCAUUUGCCAGUGAGGAGAACGGGGCAGCAGAAAGAGAAGCUUCCUGCCACUUCACACAAUUUUGUGAUUUUUGUGUGUAUGAGAUUUGAAUCAUAUUAAUUCUGUCCAGCUGAUUGACAGAGCCACUGACUGCAACUUAAUAGAGUCCUCAUGGAUCCACAGGAGAAGAGGUGGCAGGCUGCAUUCCUCUAUGAGACAACACUUUCUCUUGGAGUCCCAGCCUCUGCUGAGUUAGAGGGCAGCUUCGGGAGAGUCCCUCUGGGGAUGCACAGGCAUACCGGCAUGCCUUCUUCAGCCACACAUUUGUGAAGACGAGUGUUUGAGAAAACCACCACAUAGCUAUCAGUUCACUUUACAAGGCUAACCCAGACUAGGAUCCAGAGAGAUUCUUUGCUGAAUGGCUGCUUCUACAGAAGGAACCCCCAUGAAAUGUCUGAGCUUUAGAUCUGCCAGCCCAGUACCAUUUUUGAUCUCUGAUGGGCAUGAGGGGUGAGCACUAUGAGGAAAAAGUUGAGAUUUUUGUCUUCUCCCUUCUGUUUCCUAUCGGUUUCUCUCCCAGAUGAUGGCAGUGGUAUCUGAGCACCAAGCGUUUGUUUAGUACAGGGCUGAGCAUCUCAUUUUACAAAUGAGCUGACUGAAGUACCAAGACAUUCCUCAUGGACUGGACAUUGUAGCGCUCAGGGCUUCAGAGCGUUUUUGUAUAAUGCUUGUAUUUCGUGUCUUCAAGGAAUAGUCUGUGCUUUGGUGUAUUCCCUUGCUGAAUACAGUGACCCUACACCCCUCCCCAGAUGCAAGCAUGUAAACAUACACACACAUACACACACACACACGGCCCUGUAUGUUCCAAGGAACCACGUACCUAUGUCUGUCUCUCCACCUUGAACUCUAAGAUUUCUUGGACAUGAACCUUGCAGUCCAAAUGCUAGGUCACAUGUGCUCCACGUUGUCACUUGGCAGCAUACCUUCUUGCUUGGCCCAAAGGCCCAGAUCCUCUUUUUUUUUUUUUUUUCCUUCAGACAUUUCACAAAUGCCACUGCUUCGAGAUAUUCCUGAAGUUCCAGAGUUUUAUGUGACUUGCCAGUUUUGUUGUGCAAUGGGAGGCAGGGCAGAAAAUCUUAAGCUUGAUAAUGGGCACGGUCCUGUGAACUGCUAAGGUGUGCUCACAGCCCUGAGAGUUAGCGCUCAUGGGAUGCUUCAGGUAUAGCACAAUGUCCGUGGCUAAUUACGUCUUUCUAGUGAGCCGUUGGAUUGCUGCUGCUGCUGCUGCUGCUGCUGCUGCUGCUGCUGCUGAGAUGCAAGCCCAGCUUUCCAAAAGAGAAGCCAAGGCCUUUUAUUUUCUCUCAUGCUGCUGUGUUGUUUUCUGAUCAUCAAGAAUAGAAAAAGAAUCAGAUCACCCUCCAAAGGGAAGGUUAAGAUGAUUCACCCAAAUCAGGCUCCCAGGGUGAGGGGUUCAGUGUGGGGCACUGUAAAUAGAAGAGACUACACCUCUCUGAAGAUGUGCUGUGCUCUGUGGGGAGGCCGCUAGGAGCUCCCUGUUUAUCCGGGCACCAGGAUCUCACUGUUUGGGUGUUCUUGCUGUGUAUGUCACCUUGUGUCCUGGGGCUGCAGGUCCACAAGUCCUCUACAAGAGGAAAAAUCCUGCAGGCAGGGUCAGUGUCUGCUAAAGGUAAAGACAUGACCCAUUUGACCAAGUAAGCCAUACAAGAGGAUAUACAGGGGACCCCCUCCAUGCCCAGGAACGUGCAAAGACUUUAUAGGGACACGAGGGGAUCUAGGCAGAGAGGAAGGACUAGAAAGGAAAACUGUGGAUGCAGAAGACAGAAAUGUUUAGAAAAGAAAGGCUGGACACUGGGGAUGUGCUAGGGGAGGUCCCAUAAAUGCACCAAGGAAAUGAAGCCAAGGGCAGCCUGUGGCUGGGUCCCGUCUGUGUCCCAUAGUGCUUCAGUCCACCCACCACAGAGUCAGACCCCUGCCUUUGGAUGCACUCCCUUGUCUCUGAGACUAAAGUUGGAGGCCCAGGAGACUUUUCCUUUUCAUAAGACAUUUUAGGUGCAGGCCCUGAAGCCUGUGUGGGCAUUCCCACGUGAUAUCAGUCUUCCUGGAAGUGCCAUUUCUGCUGGUUCAUUCCCACCCUGGUCACCAAGUUUUGUCCCUCUUCCUUCGUGUUUCAAGGACUCCCCAGUGAGGGAGAGCAUUCUUUUGCCUCCUAAUGCUAGCAUACAGUAAGCAUUCAGUACAUUCUGAUGGUGGAAUGUCUCCAGUCUAGCAUUCAUGUGUUUUUCAGGCAGUGAAGAGUUAGAGGAGGAUGUCUACAGCAGAUAAUUCUCCUGAUUGUGUUUUUAAGGCUUGAUUCGGGUUUAAGAACAUGGGAUGGGCUAAACGUUUACCGUGGUGUUCAGCUCUGCAGCCCGCAGCCUCUGGGGCCUGCCUGUCCCAGUACUGUAUUUUCUCCCUUCACCACAUUAUUCCCCUUGGGAGUUUUGCUCUCCAUAGCAAGACGGAUAGAGUAUGUGACUGGCAUUGUCAUCACAACCUUAGUGAACUUGUUGACGCUACCACACUACACAUCAGCUAAUUUUCAGAAAGGGUGAGUCUGAGCCUGAAUGAAUAAGGUGUUGCUGAAGUUGUCGGGCCCAGGUUAUCAGCCUUAUGUAUGUAUAUUCUACAUCUUUUGUAUCUGCCCACUCAUUUGAGCUGCUGCCACAGCCGCAUGUAUUUCCAGGAUGAGAUUGAAGCAGGGUGUGUGUGACUCUGGAAAGGGAUAGGAAAGAGGCAGAGGAGCAACAGAUGCGCAGUACAGACGACUGCAUGGAGCCCCAGCCACACAGUGUUAAGAGCAGAGAGCUUCAGUAGAGCUGAUUCAGCACAUGGGAGCCAUGGUCCGAGUCCUUGUUUCACAGUUCCCUUUGAAGAGUGCGGGUCGCUGAAGACCAGUCCAACACUGAUGCCGUGGUGCAUAUAUAUGCGGUGGAGUGGGCAUAUAGUUCCUCCAGGCCUUAGCAUCUGUGCAUCUUAGAGCUGAGCUUUCCGACUAGAUUCCUUUACUCUCCAAACACAAUAGGUCACACCUUCAUUUUUGUCCAUUUCUUUUGUUGACAUGAACACAAGGGUGCACCCAAAGCCCUAAAUCAUUUUCAGUGGUGCACUCUGAAAGUGGUACUUCCAUGUUAGACUCUGAAAGCCAUUUAGAAACCAUUCCCACUGGACAAGGCGCCCACCCACAUCAAGAUACAAAGUAUCUGCACUGCAGGAGGGGUGGUGGCAGGAAGGGGGAGAGUAUUGUGUCAUUCAGUGCUUCUGGCAGAGUGAGCCAGAGGCAUAGGUUGGUCCUUGACACUGCUGCCCACAAGAAGUUCACAGUCUAGUGCAGUUGACAGGUGUGCUGCAGUCACAUCAAACAGAGGUGUAUUUGACAAAUUCUGCACUGGGGGAGGUCAGAGCACGUUCACUUCAAUGGAGCAUAGUGGAUGAAUGCAAGUCGGAGUAGACAGUUGAGGAGUGGGCAUAUUAGGGAGGUGGGGCAAAGCAUAUAAUUAUGGACAGGAAACAGCUGAAAUGAGAAAGCUGUAUAUGCCAAUAGAGUCUAUUAGUUUAGGCUCUGGAUGUGUUAGUAGGCAUCCAGCUGCAAAGACAGGAACCAAGACUCAUCUGGCUUAAACACAUGAGUGUGCUCCAAGGGGGCCAGUAACAGAUAACAGUCGCUCAGCUCUGUCACUGAGGACCUAGUGUUGUCCAGUGUUUUAAUGGUCCUGGUCUCCAGUAGUUUCUCUUCUCAAUAGUUUGUGCUGGGGUCCUAAAGCAUGCAUGAGAUACUCUUAGGAUCAUUUCCCUCACUAAGGAAAGCCUUUAAGAAACCUGACACCAGUCAGACUCACCUUCAGGCCUCAGGGAUGGAGGUACGUGCUAUAUCCCACUCCCUGGAAGGGGCACGCACCCAUCACGUCUCAGCCUUUGGGUUGAUGCCUAGGAUGUACAGGCCUGUUUCUUCUGAACUCUUGUCCAGGUAGAGAGUGCUAGAUCAGAAGCAGACCUCUGACAGAAAGCGGGAAUCAGGAACUGUGGGCUGCUGAGCCACAGGGGCUUGUCAUGUCAAAAGAAAACGCCCCAUUGGCUGUGUAGAGCUUGGUUUUGUGAGUCAAGCUGGAAACAAAUGGUGUCAUAAGAACUUAAGCAUCCUCAGGGACUGCUGGUUCUCUACUAUUAUAAAGCCACACGUUUCUUGGCGAAUGGGGACACUUUAGGGCAGGGAGGGAACCAGCACAGAUGGCUUUCCCAUCUGCAUUUCCAAGACCCUCCUCAUGGACUGUGGCAAGCUCAGACUUCUUGGGGUCUGUGUGGGGGAACCAUGCAGUCAGACUUUGGUGAAGAGAAUGUUAGGUGGAAAUGGGCGUGCCUCUGGAAGCUGGAUGCUCAAGACACUCAUUUUCACAAAGGAGGAAAUGGGACCCAGACAGUUGGGAUGGCCAUUGAGCCUGGGCUUGCUCUUGCUCCUCAGGUGGGUACCCAGGUCUCUGUGGUGAGUGCUCAAGUGGUCCCCAGGGUCUCCUCUCUCUUCCUGGACACAAACUGUAUUGUUGAGCUUAAAAGAAAUUUUGAACAUUAAAAUGCAAGCAAUGAGCACAGUGCUUUAGCACCUUGGGUUGUAGUGUGAAGGGGGUCUUUCCCUCUUUCCCUUUGAAUCAGGCUUUUAAGAGGAAGAGGUCUGAAACCUUCGGGACAUGGGGUACAGGAGAGGAAAGGAGGUAGUCUUUUUCAUUUAAAAAUUCCUCCUCCUCCUCAUCUUUAUCUCCUCCUCCAUCUUCUCCUUCUUUUUCUUCUUCUUCUGUUUUGAUUUUUGGGUUCUCUGAGGACUCCAAGGCAAAGACGACUCCUAUUUAGGCAGAGAUCACUGAGCGCAAACAAGGGGCAGCUGUAGUGUAUUGUUCUGAGAGAGAUUCUCUUGGUACAUUUGUCUUGAUGUGUUAUGCUUCCCUUUUCAGCGACCCUUCACUCCUUCCCUGGCCGCCUGUGGGCUGCUUUGCUAUCCCACAACUAGGCAUAUUAUAGCAUGUGAAUGGAGCCCCGACAACUUGCCUUUGUAGACAGAGCACUCAUUUCUUGGGAUGGAGGGCAACAAAUAAGUGAAUAAGCAAAAUAGAAGACUGUUGGUAACCAUGAGGGUGAGGCCUGAACACUAAGUACCAUGUGAAAUCACCCCAAAUCUCCUUAUUUCAACUUGACUUUCAACAAUAUUCUUUACAUAUAUAUUUGUCUUAGUCGGGGUUUCUAUUCCUGCACAAACAUCAUGACCAAGAAGCAAGUUGGGGAGGAAAGGGUUUAUUCAGCUUACAUUUCCACAUUGUUGUUCAUCACCAAGGAAGUCAGGACUGGAACUCAAGCAGGUCAGGAAGCAGGAGCUGAUGCAGAGGCCAUGGAGGGAUAUUUCUUACUGGCUUGCUUACCCUAGCUUGCUCAGCCUGCUCUCUUAUAGAACCAAGACUACCAGCCCAGAAAUGGUCCCACCCACAAGGGGCCUUUCCCCCUUGAUCACUAAUUGAGAAAAUGCCUUACAGCUGGAUCUCAUGGAGGCAUUUCCUCAACUGAAGCUCCUUUCUCUGUGAUAACUUCAGCUGUGUCAAGUUGACACACAAAAGCUUGUGUAUGUGUGUGUGCGUGUGUGUAUUUUUCUGGUAUGUCAAUCACCAUAAAGCUAUUAAUGCUGCGUGCAGAAGGUGUGAGGAGGCAGAGCUAAUAAGUAUGUAUGGAUGAGACCAUCCUUGCUAUGGCCUCAUAGACGAUCUGUUUCCAUAGGACAGUGAAAAGAGAAAGGUUGUAUAUGCACACACAGGUAUGUCUGUCUCUGUGAGACUAUUUUAGCCUGGGAGAGAAACGUGGCAAUUAUAUGGAAUGAGUAUCGGUACUAGGAAUAAUGGAGUGUGAGCCGCUGAUGUGGGCCUGGCUGGGAGGAGCUAGAGGCAGAGAUGGGAGGAGACAGAAACAAGAAUGGCAAAACCAAUGGAAUGCAAUACUUAAACUCAGCAGUUAGGCACCACUGGCUGCUCUUGCAGAGGACUGGUGUGUGGUUCCCAUCACCCAUAUGGCAGAUCUCAACCAUCUGUUACUCCAGUUCCAGGGCAUCUCACCCCCUCCUCCUCAGGCAUUGCACAAAUGUGGUCCACGGCAUACAUCAGCCAAAACACCCACAUGGAUAACCGAAACAGUAAACAAAAGAAAACAAAACCAAGAUGGGGAAUGGUCCUCGUGUUGCUAAGAGAUGCUGAUCUUAGCUGUUCGGCUAUACAGCGUCACCCAGGAGCCUUGAGCAAGGGUAUGCUAUACUUCCUCAAAUUGAAGGCGCUGGCUCCCUGGAACCGCUGACCCCUUUCAUUUUCUUCUCACCUUUGUCAUUUCUCAUCCAGUGCUUGUAUUCGCCUGCUAUCUUCAUGUCAGUAAUGGCUGAAUUAUAAUUGAAAGUGUGUAUAUAAUGUGCAUAAUUAUAUACACAAUUAUAGUAAGGUUAGUUUGAAAUUACACAGUUUAUUGUGAAGAAUAAAUAUCCACCUGAGAAACUA